rnacentral:misc_RNA from 1 species
CAGAGUUCAUGCCCUUACGGGUAGAUCUCCCACCCUUGUGUAUCAUAUCAUAUGUUGCUUUGGCGGGUGCAAACCCGUCAGAGGACCCAAACUCUGAGUUUAGUGUCGUCUGAGUACUAUAAAAUAGUUA